rnacentral:rRNA from 1 species
UACGGGGGGGGGCAAGCGUUGUUCGGAAUUACUGGGCGUAAAGGGCUCGUAGGCGGCCAACUAAGUCAGACGUGAAAUCCCUCGGCUUAACCGGGGAACUGCGUCUGAUACUGGAUGGCUCGAGUUUGGGAGAGGGAUGCGGAAUUCCAGGUGUAGCGGUGAAAUGCGUAGAUAUCGGGAGGAACACCAGUGGCGAAGGCGACUUCUUGGCCUGUUCUUGACGCUGAGGCGCGAAAGCUGGGGGAGCAAACGGGG